rnacentral:rRNA from 1 species
UAUCAAAAACAUACGUGAUCUGAGUUCAGACCGGAGGUCUCAAGGGUACCACACACAAAAGCUGUCUUUUUUAUAUUAAAAAAACUUUCCUUAUAAGUGAAAAGGCUUAUGGUUUUGUAAAAGAAGAGAAGACCCUGUCGAACUUAGUUAGGAGUUUUAAUUUUGUUAUUGUUUUUGAUGGUUUUUUGGGGCAAAAGUAAUAAUAAAACAUUAUUAUUUGUUAGGGAUCCUAUAGGAUAGAAGUAAGAAAAAGUUACCGGAGGGAUAACAGGGUAUUUUUUUUAGAGAGGUCUUAUUGAUAAAAAGGUAUACCACCUCGAUGUUGAAUUAAAGAUACUUUAUGGUGUAGCAGCUAUGUGGGUGGGACUGUUCGUCCUUUAAUUCUUUACGUGAUCUGAGUUCAGACCGGAG